CCUCACCUCCAGGGGGCGCUGUGAGACUGCAGCUUUAUAACCGCCUGUUUCCGGCCGUUUCCCUCCUAAUAAUCCAGAGGUUUGAAUGAGACACACCUGUCUUUCUUUCUUUCUCGCUUUUUCUGUCCUGAAUUUCAGGUUUUGCUGUGGAUCGUCUGUCCAAGGCCAAAGUGAGCGUGACGACGAGGCUGACGGAUCCUCUGAUGUGUGCUACCUGUAAUUUCCUCUGAUCCAGUGAUAAGUGACUCCUUGGACGAUGAGUGCCGAUGCCAGAACAGGACCAGUCCCUGCUUGAGGAACGCUGUUUCAACUGCAUCCAGGCUUUCAUAUACAAUAAGACAUCACUAGAGACUGAAAAUAUGGGUGUGGCACAGUUGUAAGAAUUGAUUGAUGUUGUGGAUGGUAUUAUUCAGGGUCGUAGCCUACUAUUCACUUUGUUAUGGUGGUUAUGGUAUUCUGGUGGUAAUGAUGUUGAUUCACUUUGGUGUUAGCUAAAAUAUAACUUACUAAAAUAACUCUUAGUAGCUGUUUACUUUCCCGAUAGCCUAACUUACUUGUCCGAAACGGAAAUGUAGGUCUAUUAAAUAAUAAAUAAAUUUAACAGGGA